UACAGAGGUCUCAAGCGUUGUUCGGAUUCUUUGGGCGUAAAGGGUGUGUAGGUGGCGCCGUAAGUCGGGUGUGAAAUUUCGGAGCUUAACUCCGAAACUGCAUUCGAUACUGCGGUGCUUGAGGACUGGAGAGGAGACUGGAAUUCAUGGUGUAGCAGUGAAAUGCGUAGAGAUCAUGAGGAAGACCAGUGGCGAAGGCGGGUCUCUGGACAGAAACUGACGCUGAGGCGCGAAAGCUAGGGGAGCAAACAGG
rnacentral:rRNA from 1 species